GACGAACGCUGGCGGCGUGCCUAAUACAUGCAAGUAGAACGCUGAAGGAGGAGCUUGCUUCUCUGGAUGAGUUGCGAACGGGUGAGUAACGCGUAGGUAACCUGCCUGGUAGCGGGGGAUAACUAUUGGAAACGAUAGCUAAUACCGCAUAAUAGUAGAUGUUGCAUGACAUUUGCUUAAAAGGUGCAAUUGCAUCACUACCAGAUGGACCUGCGUUGUAUUAGCUAGUUGGUGAGGUAACGGCUCACCAAGGCAACGAUACAUAGCCGACCUGAGAGGGGGAUCGGCCCAACUGGGACUGAGACACGGCCCAGACUCCUACGGGAGGCAGCAGGAGGGAAUCUUCGGCAAUGGACGGAAGUCUGACCGAGCAACGCCGCGUGAGUGAAGAAGGGUUUCGGAUCGUAAAGCUCUGUUGUAAGAGAAGAACGAGUGUGAGAGUGGAAAGUUCACACUGUGACGGUAGCUUACCAGAAAGGGACGGCUAACUACGUG
rnacentral:rRNA from 1 species